GAUGAAGAACGUAGCGAAAUGCGAUAAGUAAUGUGAAUUGCAGAAUUCAGUGAAUCAUCGAAUCUUUGAACGCAUCUUGCGCUCCUUGGUAUUCCGAGGAGCAUGCCUGUUUGAGUGUCAUUGCUGCCCUCAAGCACGGCUUGUGUGUUGGGCCUCCGUCCUCCUCCCGGGGGACGGGCCCGAAAGGCAGCGGCGGCACCGCGUCCGGUCCUCGAGCGUAUGGGGCUUCGUCACCCGCUCUUGUAGGCCCGGCCGGCGCUUGCCGACACAUCAAUCUUUUUUCCAGGUUGACCUCGGAUCAGGUAGGGAUACCCGCUGAACUUAAGCAUAUCAAUAAGCGGAGGA
rnacentral:misc_RNA from 1 species